AGUCGAGCGGAGAUGAGGUGCUUGCACCUUAUCUUAGCGGCGGACGGGUGAGUAAUGCUUAGGAAUCUGCCUAUUAGUGGGGGACAACAUUCCGAAAGGAAUGCUAAUACCGCAUACGCCCUACGGGGGAAAGCAGGGGAUCUUCGGACCUUGCGCUAAUAGAUGAGCCUAAGUCGGAUUAGCUAGUUGGUGGGGUAAAGGCCUACCAAGGCGACGAUCUGUAGCGGGUCUGAGAGGAUGAUCCGCCACACUGGGACUGAGACACGGCCCAGACUCCUACGGGAGGCAGCAGUGGGGAAUAUUGGACAAUGGGCGGAAGCCUGAUCCAGCCAUGCCGCGUGUGUGAAGAAGGCCUUUUGGUUGUAAAGCACUUUAAGCGAGGAGGAGGCUACUUAGAUUAAUACUCUAGGAUAGUGGACGUUACUCGCAGAAUAAGCACCGGCUAACUCUGUGCCAGCAGCCGCGGUAAUACAGAGGGUGCGAGCGUUAAUCGGAUUUACUGGGCGUAAAGCGUGCGUAGGCGGCUGAUUAAGUCGGAUGUGAAAUCCCUGAGCUUAACUUAGGAAUUGCAUUCGAUACUGGUCAGCUAGAGUAUGGGAGAGGAUGGUAGAAUUCCAGGUGUAGCGGUGAAAUGCGUAGAGAUCUGGAGGAAUACCGAUGGCGAAGGCAGCCAUCUGGCCUAAUACUGACGCUGAGGUACGAAAGCAUGGGGAGCAAACAGGAUUAGAUACCCUGGUAGUCCAUGCCGUAAACGAUGUCUACUAGCCGUUGGGGCCUUUGA
rnacentral:rRNA from 1 species